rnacentral:misc_RNA from 1 species
AAAAUUAGUAGGCUUUUAUCUGAUAAAUUUUUCGAUUGAGAUGAGAACAAUAACUUACCUUAAGUCUUGCAUCGCAGAACGUACUUCUGUAACAUCAACUGGUGAAGAAAAUCACCUCUUUUAACUCAGAAAUUGAAAAAGGGAAAAAGUCACAAAAGCACCACCACUAAAUACCAGAGCGCCCCAAAAUUUGUUGUGGAAUUGGAUACUCUGCUCUGCUUGACCUAAAUGAACCCUCCAAUGAGGUUCUUUUUAGACGCACAAAGCUUGGCAGGGGAUGGAGAUCGGAGGUCAUACUAACA